rnacentral:lncRNA from 1 species
UCGCGCGCAGCAAGCGCGCCAGCGCGCGGCACCAUCGCGCGCAGUUAGCGAGAUUGCGCGCGGCUCCUUCACGCGGCACAUCGCGCGCAGCAAGCGCGCCAGCGCGGCACCAUCGCGCGCAGCAAGCGCGCCAGCGCGCGCACCAUCGCGAGCGUUAGCGAGAGCACCACGCGCGCAGCGCCCCAGCGCGCGGCACCAUCGCGCGCAGCCAGCUCCCCAGCGCGCGCACCAUCGCGCGCACAAGCUCCCCAGCGCGGCACCAUCGCGCGCAGCUCCCCAGCGCGCACCAUCGCGCGCAGCAAGCUCCCCAGCGCGCGGCACCAUCGCGCGCAGCAAGCGCACCAGCGCGCGGCACCAUCGCGCGCAGGCAGCCAACUCUCGUGCGGCAAGGCAGCCAACGAUCUUGCGCGAGGAUGCGCACGCUGGCGCGCGAGGUUGCCCACACUCGCGCGGCAAGGCAGCCAACUCUGGCGCGGCAAGGCUGCCCACGCUCGAGCGGCAAGGCUGCGCACUGUGGCGCGAGGCUGCGCACGCUGGCGCCCGAGGCUGCCCAAGAUGGCGCGCGUUACCAACGCUCGCACGGCAAGCAAGCCCACGCUCGCGCGCCAGGCUGCGCACGCUCGCGCGGCAAGGAUGCGCACGCUGGCGCGCGAGGUUGCCCACUCUCGCGCGGGCAAGGCAGCCAACUCUCGCGCGGCAAGGCUGGCCCACGCUCGAGCGGCAAGGCUGCGCACUCUGGCGCGAGGCUGCGCACGCUCGCGCGGCAAGCAAGCCGACGCUCGCGCGCCAGGCUGCGCACGCUCGCGCGGCAAGGAAGCCAACGAUCGCGCGCGAGGCUGCGCACGCUGGCGCGCGAGGCUGCCCACCCUCGCACGGCAAGGCAGCCAACGCUGGCGCGCGAGGCUGCCCACGCUCGCGCGGCAAGGAAGCCAACUCUUGCGCGCGAGGCUGCCCAUUUCCGAGUAAGGCAUGCUUCACCCACUCGCGAGGAAGGCAGCGCGAACUCGUGCGAGGGAUGUAGCCCAGCCUCGCGUGCCCGCAGCGCACGCUGGCGGGGAAGGAUACGAGCGCGCGCGCGGCAUGCACCUGGCACUCGCGCGGCAAACUGCCGACGCUCGAGCGAGGCAAGGCAGCGGGCGCUCGCCACCAAGGCACGCAGCCCACGCUCGAGCGAGGCAAGGCUUGCGCACGCCAUGCAGCCCCCACUCGCGCGGCAAGCAGCGCAGGCUCGCGAGGCAAGCUGCCCACGAUCGCGGGGCAGGCAGCGCGCGCUUGCGAGCAGGCCAGGCACGAUCGCGCGGCUCGCACGGCACCCUCGCGGGGCACGCACAGCACCCUCGCGCGAGGCAGGCCGCGCUCGCCCUGGCUGGGGCGGGUGGCUUCCUUCCGCGCGGGAAGUGGCCAUGUCCCUUCCGGCGCUGCUACCGCUGUUCCAUGGGGGCCGGAUGCUGCAAUUAGGCGUCAUGCGAGAAACCACCAUGGGCCGGAUGCUGCAAUUAGUCUCAGGACUCAAGUAGAUGGCGGGCUUAGGGAACAAUUUUUUGGCCGCUGGAAAACAGUUUUUAAAAUCGUCCAAAAUGGAUAAACCGGGACACAAAAUUACUCGUAAGAUAUGCAAACGGCACCGGAAUGGGCUGAAAUUUUAGGAGGCGCCGUAUAUCGACCUGAAUUAUCUGAUGGGACCAAAAAGUGGUGGAAAUUAUGCCGGAGCUCGGGGUCCCAAAUUUUGGGCAAAAAUGGCCAAAAACCGUGGCCAUUUUGAGCACACGGAUUUUGCCCAAAUUUCGCGUUUUCGGGGCGGCAGGGGAUUUUGGGCCGGCAUUGUAGAUAUGUGCGUUUGUUAACCGUCGGAGGAGACGGAAGUCUAUUCCGAGGUCCGGAUCUCGUUUUAUGGCCAAUUUACCGAACGCGCAGGGGGACCCAUUUUUCGGCCAGAAAGGGCCAAAAUUCGCGUUUUCGGGGCGGCGUGGGGUUUAGCCACAGGAGAAAACGGAAGCCAAAUUUCUCCUUUGUGCCAGCCACUUAGAUUUUGCCGAGAGUUAGACACAAGUCCGCUACGAGGCCUGAGUUAGCCUCCUUUCGAAGCCAUCACACAAGUCUUUGUGCCAGAGUUAGCCUCAUGAAAAGGAGAGUGUGCUGCCUUUGUGCCAGCCACUUAGAUAUUGCCGAGAGUUAGCCUCGUGAAAAAACACAAGUCCACUCCGAUCCUUGGGCGUGUGCGCCGCAGGGGGCUAACCUCCGACGGGUUCCGAACAAGAGAAGACGGUGCGAGUGAGGGGGGAGGGACGAAUCUGAGCGACGUAGGGCUGAAUCUCAGUGGAUCGUGGCAGCAAGGCCACUCUGCCACUUACAAUACCCCGUCGCGUAUUUAAGUCGUCUGCAAAGGAUUCUNNNNNNNNNNNNNNNNNNNNNNNNNNNNNNNNNNNNNNNNNNNNNNNNNNNNNNNNNNNNNNNNNNNNNNNNNNNNNNNNNNNNNNNNNNNNNNNNNNNNNNNNNNNNN